CCAAAAGUUUCCACUUUCUAAUAAAAAUUUGCUGUCACUUUUCUCCCUGACAAGCAAUUUUCACAACUCCUCAGAUUUUCAAAAUGUUUUAAAAUAAGCUAGAAUAAAAUUCCGUAAUUCCAAGCAAGGGAAUUUAUGGAAUUAAUUCAUGCAAAAAUGAAUUGGGUCUUGGUGGGGGCCCUACAUAUGAGAUUCCAUGAUUGAUUGAUUGAUUUAUUUGUCAUGCAUGAUUGAUUUACUCUAUUCCUUGAUAUGCGCUUAAUUAUAUAUGUUUAUUGUUCACUAACCAUGUUUCAUGAUAGCGCAUUCGUGAUUGCCGCCCAGGUACGCAUCUAUUCAUAUUUUGCUCAUUCUUUAUACAUGCUUUGAUACUCAUAUGUGCAUGAUUUGAUUUGAGUAUUCAUUGAUUUUCUCAUUGAUUGCCAUGUCAGCUUCAUUUUAGUAGUAGAGACCCGAUUUUAGGGACUUAGAGGGGUGCUACGGUCUUUACCGUACCUUCUCGAUAAGUAACCUGACCCCCGAACCCGAUCCGGUUUUUCGUAGAUCACCUUUUCCAAAAUAAGGAGUCACACUUAGGGUUUUUCUUUCUUAUUUUGUUU
rnacentral:lncRNA from 1 species